UUAUAUCACUUAUGUAAACAACAUGCAUUCUUCCGUAAUUUUGAUUUAUAU
rnacentral:sRNA from 1 species